rnacentral:rRNA from 1 species
UACGUAGGGUGCAAGCGUUGUCCGGAAUUAUUGGGCGUAAAGAGCUCGUAGGCGGCUUGUCGCGUCGGCUGUGAAAACCUGGGGCUCAACCCCGGGCCUGCAGCCGAUACGGGCAAACUAGAGUAUUGCAGGGGAGACUGGAAUUCCUGGUGUAGCGGUGAAAUGCGCAGAUAUCAGGAGGAACACCGGUGGCGAAGGCGGGUCUCUGGGCAAUAACUGACGCUGAGGAGCGAAAGCGUGGGGAGCGAACAGG